rnacentral:tRNA from 1 species
GGAUUGUGGCUUAGUGGUAGAGGGCUUGCCUAGCAUGUGUGAGGCACUGGGUUUGAUUCUCAGCACCA